GCGACGCGUGCGCGUCGUGUCGUGCGCUUCGCCAUAGCGCACAGCCCCACGAACCCUAGCCCCCAAACUGCAGCCGCCACAAUCUUCCCUCCUUACUUCCUCGUCAACACAGGCGCCGCACCCCUCCCUUCUCCCCCCUUCCCGCAGCCCCAAGAGCUCGGCCGUACCAUUCGACGAGAUCCACCGCCUCCUGAGGUACAUAUCCACCCCAGGUCGCGAGGAAGUCGCGGGAGGAGGAGAACCCUCGUCGCAAGGAAGAUGCAGGAGGAGGAGGUCAGCCGGGCGUCGCCGGCCGAAGAAGGAGGAGAAGCGGGGAUGCCAGCCAAGGAGGCGGAUCGCCUCACCUCUACUGCACUGUGAGCGCUGCCGCUACCUCUGCCUCCACCUUGCCCCGCCGUCAUGGGAGGAGUCGCCAUGGAAGAGCAGUCGUAGGUACCACAACAUCAAAGGAGCUGCAGUCGGGUGGAGAUGAGGAUGCGUCGCUCGAUUGACAAGAGCAGGACAGUGAAUUGGAUUGAGGGCGUCUACAUGGCCACACCGCUGCUGCCGCCUAGAGUCGCCUUGGGGUGCCACCUCGAGCGGCCUCCAUCGCCGCCCCGAGUCAAGUCCACCACUGCCGCCAGGAAUCCCGUCCCCGGCAAGCUGACCUGCUGAUGUUGCUGCUGUGCUGGCCAGGGAGUGAGUCCACUGACAUAUGGACACAAGAGAUAUUCAGUUAUGAGGAUUAGGAUAUUAAUGAUUGUUCAGUCAUUGAGGAUUCGAAAAGAGGCAUCAAUGCUCCAGUAAAGGUUGUAUUGAAGUUGUGGCUGUCAAUAGUCCUUUUAUUGAUGCUAACUACAUGGCCUAUAUGUUCAAGUAUGACUCCACUAAUGGCCCCUUUAGAGGAUCCAUUAAGGUCGUGGAUGAUUCAAUACAGGAGAUUAAUGGAAAAAAAAAUCACAACCACAAGCAAAAGGUAAAUAUGCCAGGGUUAGCUGAUUGUUUGCCAUAUUAGUGUGGUUGAUAUAGAUGUCAUGGUUUCUAAAUAUGCAUGACAUGUUGUCCUGAAAUAAGGACAUGUGAAGCAAUGAAGUCGCCAAAGUAACAUUAUUACUUAAUAAUCGAUUCAUAGUUUAGAGCCCCAUGUUUUUUGCACAUUCAUACUGACAUAUAAUAGCUUACAAGUGCACGCUUGUUGUACAUCUCGAGUACUGGAUGUUCCUUCUCUUAUUUUGAUUCUGAUGUUCAUAUGUUAAUUUUCUGCGAUGGAGGGAAGGGAGAAGUCUGAAUGUGCCAACAAGUAGCGACCAGUGAGCUGUCGUCUAUGAUUGGCUAUGGGAGGAGUUGUCUUGCGCUGCAAGGGCAUCUUGCAGAUCGAUUUCCUUGGUUUGAUGUAUCUCGGAUUCUGAUUAGUCUUUGAUUUCACACAUUUGUUUGGAUAUUUUCUUUGCGCCAAGCACCAUGAUUUUUUUAUCACUAGUCAACAUGCACAGUACUAUCUAAGCAUAGUUGUUGGUUCUGAGCUUUUGCAGCACAUAACAAAUCUUAGCUUUCAGGAAUUAUGAUAUUGGCCAUUUCCACUGAACAUGAAGAGGGUACAUGUAUGGACAUGUAGAAACUGGAGUGAAUUAACAUAAUCCCAUAGAAUGUAGUCUGAGAAAUGAGAAUAGUACGCCAACUCAGUGAGGCAAGUACCGGCCUGUUUUGCCAUCCCUGUGAUAAAUGAAAGUUAGUUUAGGUAAUCUUGGUUAUAAAAUCAUUUUCUUAAAGGCUUAACUUAUAACUUGACAGAAAUUUUUAUUGCACCUGAAUAUUUGAUUAUGAAUCUAAGUUAUGGGAAAUAGGUGGAGUAAGAGGAAAUGGGGCGUUGUUAGGCGGGACCUUGCCACUGUUGCCUUGGGUUUUGGCAUCGAAGCACCACCAUGUAUGGCUAGCCUUCCAUGGCUACAUCGAGGGUCCCAAUCUGCAGGACCCCAUGCAGUGUGCAUUGGACAGUGUUGUGGAGGGUCCAAUUUCCUCAUGAUUUAAGAAGCUCUGUGUAGUAUCAAACUUAAUUUGAGAACACUGGCUUGUUUUGUAGUCCAUUCCCAGCACAUGUGUUCAGAAGACUGGACACAUCUUGUACUUGCUUGAAAUUUUCUUUCCAUAAAAAGUUCCUUGGAAGGGAUUGCGAAGUUAAACGAGCAUGUCCCUUUUUCAUCUAUUUACAGUGUGUUUUCUUUUGGUUUCACCACAUUUUUAGGUUCACAUUUUUUACAGAUUACGUAUAGGAGGCAUUGAUGAUGGAACAUGAAUGCCCAUUGUUCUUGUUUGCUCCUGAUCUUAGUAGACCUGUGAUGUGCUCUUGAUCCUUUCUCUUUUUUUUGUUAAAUGAGUCUCUGACUGAGGACAUGUUCUUUAAUUAGAUUGCAAUCAUGAAACUUUUUUUUGGGGUUUCUUAUUGUAAAAUACAAAGCUUCCAAAUUGUUUGAUCCUGGAAAUAAGUUAGCAAAUUUUUGUGUGCAGUGAGCUGGGAGCCGGGGUCAUCCCUGUCACCACCAGUCGAACAUACUACUUCAGCCACCAUGUUGAGCGAUAUAAAAGUGUUCUCUGUUUCAUAGAGCAACAACACGAGAUUGUGCCCCCUCUUGCUCCUGGUGCAUGUUGCUGCCCUCCUUCCCCCUCUGAUUUGACUUGCUUUACAUUGCGUGAAGUUGUUUACUUUCAACUUUACAAAGCUAUAUCAAGUUCACAACUGUACUUGGCUACAACUGUAACAUGAUGCAUUUCUCUUCCAGUUUAUUGAAUAUAUUUUUAAGGAUUGAAUGUUCUAUCUGGUACUGUCCUAUCACUCAUUUAACUAUCUUAAUUUGUUCACAAAACUCCUUCUGUAGCUAAGAUUUCUUUGUACAACACGUACUAAUUAUUGGUCUUAUUCUUAAAUCUUAUUUCACGUUAUUCAGCUGCAGGCUGGGUUAAGAUUGUUUUUGUGCCAGAAACAGACUAAGCAAUGCUCUAACCUUAAAGGGCAACCUGGUGCAUGUAGCUCCCGCUUGCGCAGGGUCCAGGGAAGGGUCCGACCACUUUGGGUCUAUAGUACGCAGCCUUUCCCUACAUUUCUGUAAGAGGCUGUUUCCAGGACUUGAACCCAUGACCUCAUGGUCACAAGGCAGCAGCUUUACCACUGCGCCAAUGCUCUAACCUUGGCAGCAAAAAUUGUCUAAAUUCCAUAAAUAAGGUCGUGGAACAUCUUUGAAUACGUUCAUUUAAAUAUCUUGAGUCGACCUAUAUGGGUUGCUUCUGUGCACACUCUCUUUGAUAUGAAUUUAUAGGAGAGAAAUUCUUUCAUGGUAAUGAUGUAUUAUCGAUAUUUACUCUGUUUCUUAGGCAUAUAAGUUUCUUUUUGUGGGAUGCAAUUACGGCACCAUAUGAAUAUGAUCCUUGAGUUGCAUAACAUUUAUAAAGAAUGUCUUGGAAAUUGCAAGUAGAUGAUUACGUUUACCCUGUAACUUUAGGAGUAAGAUAUAUAUGGUGAUUGAAUCUAGAGAUGCUUGCUAAUCUAUAACGUUAAGAUCCAGUCAUGUGCAAUAUGUUUUAUUCAUAGAAACUUGGAAUCAAUCUGGCUGAAAGUAAUCAUCUUAUGGCGUGGCAUGAAGAGGUAGUUCACAAACCUCUGUUAGGUGCUCCAUCCUUUGUCACUCUGAUUUGCUUUCCUAAUAUCUGGCUUCUCUGAACAGAUGUGUGCAGAUUUGAGAAAGAAGAGGAAUAAUCCAGCAGAAGAAUUUGGUGAAUAAGAACAACUUGGCAUUUCUCUCUUGUGAACAGAGUCAUGCCUGCCUUUUGAUUUUAUUGUUUGUGCUAAUGCAAACAAGAAUUCUCUAUAGUUCUUGACGCAACACCUCUAAUUACUCAAUCUGCAAUACAUGAUUAGGAGAAGUUUAGUGCAUGAAUUAGCAUUCUAUAAAGUCCGUCUAAGCUCAUGUCUCUAGGCCAGGGUAGAUUUCUCAAUAUCAUUUUUGGGAUUGUUUGAACACUGAACAACAUUGCCAGGUCAACCAUUUCUCAUGUAUUUGUCAUAUCUGUAGGUAUUGUGGUGUCUCAAUUUUGUCACCAGCCUCUUUUACCGACCUGUAAACUAUCUGUCUCGAGGUCUCCCUGACUGUAUUUGGGUUUAGAAAAACAAAUAACUAUUUUUGGACUUAUUUUUGCAUCAGCUACUUUGUAGGUAUUAUGUGUGUUGUUAGGGAUCUGAUAUUAUGUAGUUCCAGGGAUUUCAGACGGCCUGGUCAGUCCAUUGUUCUUUCCAUGUGAUACUUUUUCUCAGUAUUGUGAUCAUCAGUGCUCUUGACACUGGUUACUUUUUCUUAUUACUGUGAUCGUCAGUGCUCUUAACAUUGGUUGUUCUUGCUUUAUGGUUGCCUUCCCAGUGCACCUUUAUUACUUCUAACAUAUUAAUUUUAAUAUGCUUGAUUGACCAUAUUAUAUAUUUCACUUCACCGGGGUGGUUGCUGGAAGUGUUGGUUAAAAUAUUUUGGCUAAAACAUUGUCUCUAAUUAUCAAGUUUAUACAGUUGAAUCUUCUUGAUUGACUAUUUUGUAGCCUGCUCUUAGUUGUACAAUAUUAAUUCUUAAAACUGGAUCUCUUAAAAUUAGUUAAAUUUAAUGAGUUGUUUCACUGUUUUCAAAUAAGUAGCUUCAGCCCCAACUGUGUCCUAAAGCUUAUUUUACUGCCUUUUCAAAUAAGUUUUUUUCCUUGGCACUACUAUCACUGUGUACAGAUGGUUACUGAAAGAAGAAGUAUUCAAGCAGCAUACCUUCACUUGACAGAUGCUUUAACCGCAAGAACUGUUGUUAUUUUCUUUUCCUUUGCUGCAAUAAUGGUAGUUCUCCUUCGAUUCUAGAAGCCACAAAGGAGUGAAGGGUAGAGAUUUCAAUUGUUGUUGAAUUGGUGGGAUUUUCACCAAGUUAGUGUUGCAGAUUGUUUCUAUUUUAGGGCAAGAAGCCAAAUCAUAUUGUUCAUUGUAAAUCUUGAAAAACUUGUUUACUGUCAAUUCUAUAUCUAUUAUAAACUUUUUCCUGGUGUGGUACUUA